AGUGAACGCUGGCGGCGUGCCUAAUACAUGCAAGUCGAACGGAGUGUCGCACGGGUGAGUAUUGUAUAUCUAAUCUGCCCUACACUAGAGGACAACAGUUUGAAACGACUUCUAAUAUUCCAUAGUUUAGGUUGAGGCUAUAUUGUAUCAGCUAGUUGGUGAGGUAAUGGCUCACCAAGGCUAUGACGCAUAACUGGUCUGAGAGGAUGAUCAGUCACACUUGCACUGAGAAGCGGUACAGACUCCUAGGGGAUGCAGGAGUAGGGGAUAUUGCUCAAUGGGGGAAGCCAUGAAGGAGCAACGACGCGUGGGGGAUGACACUUUUCAGGACGUAAGCUCCUUUUGUAAGGGAUGCGGUAACUAACGAAUAAGCGCCGGCUAACUCCGUGCCAGCAGCCGCGGUAAUAC
rnacentral:rRNA from 1 species